rnacentral:lncRNA from 1 species
CUUGACCAAAAAUUAUAGAAAAAAAUUUUUAGAUGGACAUAUGAGUCUAGUUUCAGGAAAUAUUUACAGAACUGGUUUUCGAGUUUUGGAACUCGAGAUAUGAUUUUUAAGGUGACAGUGAUGCAGUUAGCCAGCUUGUCUGGAAAUUUUAAAAUGAACUGUGUUUUACAAUGAAAUAAGUCUGUUAACACCUCGUGUUCGACUCCGGCAAUGGUUUCGGGCAC